UACGGGGGGAGCAAGCGUUGUUCGGAUUUACUGGGCGUAAAGGGCGCGUAGGCGGCCACCGCAAGUCGGUUGUGAAAUCUCCGGGCUUAACCCGGAAAGGUCAAUCGAUACUGCGGGGCUAGAGUGCAGAAGGGGCAACUGGAAUUCUCGGUGUAGCGGUGAAAUGCGUAGAUAUCGAGAGGAACACCUGCGGCGAAGGCGGGUUGCUGGGCUGACACUGACGCUGAAGCGCGAAAGCUAGGGGAGCAAACAGG
rnacentral:rRNA from 1 species